GCCAUAAGUGAUCAUAGUAUAGCGAUUCUCUCCAGGGUAGGGUAUAAUAAGGGUUGGAGAAAAAGGCGGAGGGAAAGAAAUGUCUGGGAACUGCCUGAUGGAGGGGGAUAACUACUGGAAACGGUAGCUAAUACCGCAUGACCUCGCAAGAGCAAAGUGGGGGACCUUCGGGCCUCACGCCAUCGGAUGUGCCCCUAUGGGAUUAGCUAGUAGGUGGGGUAAUGGCUCACCUAGGCGACGAUCCCUAGCUGGUCUGAGAGGAUGACCAGCCACACUGGAACUGAGACACGGUCCAGACUCCUACGGGAGGCAUCAGUGGGGAAUAUUGCUCAAUGGGCGCAAGCCUGAUGCAUCCUUGCCGCGUGUGUGAGUAACCCCCUUAUUGUUGUAAAUC
rnacentral:rRNA from 1 species